rnacentral:rRNA from 1 species
UGGGGAAUAUUGGACAAUGGGCGGAAGCCUGAUCCAGCCAUGCCGCGUGUGUGAAGAAGGCCUUUUGGUUGUAAAGCACUUUAAGCGAGGAGGAGGCUACUAGUACUAAUACUACUGGAUAGUGGACGUUACUCGCAGAAUAAGCACCGGCUAACUCUGUGCCUGCAGCCGCGGUAAUACAGAGGGUGCGAGCGUUAAUCGGAUUUACUUGGCGUAAAGCGUGCGUAGGCGGCUAAUUGAGUCGGAUGUGAAAUCCCCGAGCUUAACUUGGGAAAUGCAUUCGAUACUGGUUAGCUAGGGUGUGGGAGAGGAUGGUAGAAUUCCAGGUGUAGCGGUGAAAUGCGUAGAGCUCUGGAGGAAUACCGAUGGCGAAGGCAGCCAUCUGGCCUAACACUGACGCUGAGGUACGAAAGCAUGGGGAGCAAACAGG